UUUUGUUAUUUAAAAUUGCAAUAUCUUAGCAAGGGGCUGCAUUGCUCACUUCUGUGAAAUCUCAAAACACAAUGUGAUGGCUGAAUUAUGGCUAAAACCUUUGCAGGAUACAUUUUGUCUCCUCAUCUUGGUGCAUAGACUUACAGCAAAAUGAAGUAACUAAUCCAAAAGAAAGCAGGGGGCUAAUGUAGCUGGGGAGGCUUCAGGACUGUAAUGAGGAUGGUUUUCCUUGGAAUGAGCCUGCAAUCCUAUUAAAUGCCUUUAAAUCCAAGAGGACUAAGUGCCAUACCUGCAGACUUAAGGAUAUUAAGCCUGAUCUCUCCAAAAUGUGUUGCCUUUGGUUCUCAUAACACUUCUGCUAUUUAACUGUGCCCUUGCAAAGUGCUGAGACUGGAGAAGUGCACAAUGCAGUUCAGCCAAUAAGUAGGACUCUUAUGUUUGUUCUGUGCCUCUUUUCCUUGUCUUGUCCUGGAGAUCUUGUCCUAUUAUGCUCAAGCCAGACAACAUCUAACUGAUGUAACCAUUCCGUAGCUAUUUGAGGGAAUGAAUUAAAUUCUCUGCAUAUUAUAGCCAUUGCAAUUUUUUUUUUUCAGAUAUUUACUUUUCAGUUAAUACUACAUCACAGUUGCUGUCGUAAUGACCUUCAUCUGGACCAAGCAACUGGAGAGUUAAGCUAUAGAAAGACUGCAAAAAAGGAUUGCAGCAACGAAACAUGAGGUAUUCCUCAUUCCCUUUCCUGGACUGAAUGAAUGGAGAGUAUAUCACAACAGUGAUUGAUCCCUGUUGCACAGAAUGAGAGGGGGAAGCUUGCCAGCUUCAGAAGAGAGGCUCUCCAUCAUGGAAUCACUGGCCAUGUGCUUUGGGACACUGCACAGCAAUGUCCAACUGGAGACAGGCAAAUGUAUCAAUCUAUCAAGAACUACUCGUGUAGAUAAUAAACCAAGUAAAAGAAUUUCCACAAUAAAGAUUCUGCAGUUUUCAAUGGCUUGUGGUCACAAAAGUAAUUUCACUUUUUCUGAAAGGCAGCUGGAUCUAAGAGGAAGACAGAACCACAGCGCUGGACAAUAAGAUUUCUAGCUCCUGCUACUUUUUCUCCACUGAAAGAAUGCCAUUGAACAGAGGUUUAAGAAGUACAGCUUUUACUAUUAGUAAUGUCCCACAACCAACAAGAAAUAAAAUCUGUUUGAAGCACUUUGAAA
rnacentral:lncRNA from 1 species